rnacentral:lncRNA from 1 species
GGGACAUUUAUUAUUCAAUUGCUUUUGAAGGGUUAUUGCUGCAGUUAGGAAAGAACAUAGAGAUGGUAGGGACAUUAGAGACAAAAUAGAUUUCAAAGAGGCAAGUACCAUUUUCCAAGUAUAAAACUGGUAAUAUUAAAAGUGACAUGGCAGUAUAUUCACAUGAUUACCGACAUCUAAUACAGAAACAAGACAGUACAGUGUUUGCAGAAGCUACUGUGGCAUCUACUAAGCCACGUGAUACCAUGAUACUAGACACCCUACCCACCCCUGUCACUGACUAGGCAUGUCAUGCACACAUAAACACACAAUGAAACUCUUAAGUCACACUAAGGUUCCUAAUCAUGAAUUAAAAUGGCUGCAGCGGGUCCCUCUGAAAAACACCAGCACCCCAUGCUAGUGCUACCACAAAGGAAGGGAGCGGCUUGGUCCCUGGCUCUGCUGAGACUAUAAAGGAUGCUUCUCCAUUUUAGCCACUUGUAAGCCAGAGAGGAGGCCCAGAGGAGUCCAACAGUCUAACCACUGUUAAUGUGUACACUCAGGAAUUCAGCCUCUCUCUGACACACCAACCAUCCCUGAGCCUCAUAAUGCACUGUAGAGCAUACAGGAGGGAAGUGGACAUAUACACAUGCCCUGUGAUGAACCAGCUGGUAACACCUGGGGUCAGAACAGUGCUGAAGACCACUUCCUAAGGAGGGUGAGGAAGAGCCUGGUGGUCUGGCUCUCCCAGCGAGCAAUGCCCAGGCUGAAUACUCAGGAAUCCCUGAGAAGGGGAAGGAACAGAGCAUGGCUUCUGGUGAUCUGUCCCAAGUUCUCUCCUAUAAGCAGACACACCUCAAAGAGUGGUCUACUUCUGCCAGGCCCUGGGCAAUCAGUCUUAAGAAGGAACCCCAGGCCCCAAGUGUAAUGGCUGUAGCCAUCCCUUUCUACUCCAAAAUGUCUGCUUCCUUUUAGCGGGGCCUGAGGAACGUCCAGUACCUGAAGCUAAAAUGCUGUCGUACCUUUGGAAGCUGAAUAAGGGGGGAAGGGGCAGGAAGAACACACACUGAUGGAGCAAGUGUCCUCUGCACAUCUUCACACCCAAUGAGGAAGUCAAGGACACUUGUGGAGUGUUUUCUUCAAUAAAAGCAGAUUCUCAUUACAUGAAGGCUUAAGGCAAUGUCCAAGGGGAAGACUACUGCCCACAUGUGCAGGAUGUAGGCGCUUACCUAUGUGGCUAUUCACGAAAAUGUGGGAAAGGGUCUGGUUGUGGCUCCUCUGGCCCAGGAGAGGGCUCAGGAGUGAUCUACCCCUACUCCAUCCAGAGAGGCAGUGCCAACAGCCAGAAAGCCCUAGAUUCUCUGAAAAACAUGUUCAUUUCUUACCCUACAGUAAUAAGAACAAACAAGUAUAUGACUGCCAACAGGCAUCUCCAAAGAUGGCAGCAGCCAUGGUCAUGCACAAGACAAAGGAGCACUUCAAACCCUGCCAAGGGAAUAUACUCCAGUUAUUUAAAAAUAAAACAAAAAAAGAGGCCAGUAGUCUGGCCGACGUGUGCUUGGAAAAGUAAAGCAAGCUGUAAUGACAGUGAUCCUGAGGACAAGAGGCAUCUCCUGAAGCAGAGGCUGAACCUCCCCCUGCGUGGGACAGACAGACACCCACCUGAGGGAACACGGUACAUAACUGCUUCCUGCCUGAUGGCCAGAACACCCCACUGAGGCAGCAGAGACACCCUCUUGCUAUCUCACACUUUCCCUAAAUAAUCAGGACAGGUCGGAGCCACCACACAAUGAUUAAGUAAAGACGAUGCUAAAGACGUUAGAGAAAAAUAAGGUUAAAGCAAUUUCUAGGGUAACAUUAAUAACCAGGACAGACUCACUAUGCAGUGGGAUCCUUCAGGGUCUUCAAACUAAAAGCCCCACAAGGAAACAAAGGAGUCCUGAGGCUGAAGCUAUCUUAUGGUUUAUCCUAUUGUGCUCUACGGAGCCAGUCCAGAUGUCAAAUUGUGUGCAGUCUGUUCCAAACGCCAAGAACCUUCUGAAGGCCUGAAGCUCCAAGGAACUCACAAGGGUCAAAGUUCAGCGGGGCUUUGGAGAACCGUUCAUCUGGUUGCCCUGAGUCACGGGGUCCGUAGUAUAAAGGCAGUCCAAGAAGACGGAGGAUAUUUCUGCAACCAGCUUCCUGUCAAUGGUUGCCUGGGCCAUGCCAUAGAUGGCACC